GUAAUAGGACAUUGAGGUAAAUCAGAUAUUGAGAUAUUAGGAUAUUGAGGUAAAUAGGACAUUGAGGUAAAUCAGAUAUUGAGAUAUUAGGACACUGAGGUAAAUCAGAUAUUGAGGUAAAUAGGACAUUGAGGUAAAUCAGAUAUUGAGAUAUUAGGACACUGAGGUAAAUCAGAUAUUGAGGUAAAUAGGACAUUGAGGUAAAUCAGAUGCUGAGAUAAAUCAGAUAUUGAGAUAAUAGAACACUAAUCUAAAUUGGACAUUGAGGUAAAUAUGACACUGCGAUAAAUUGGACAUUGAGGUAAAUCAGAUAUCGAGAUAAAUAAGACAGGUAAAUUGGGCAUUGAGGCAAAGAGAAGACUGAGGUAAAUCAGGAAUUAAGGUAAAUUGGACAGUGAGAUAAAUCAGACAUCGUGAACAUUUCAUUUUUGACUGAACUUCACCAUGCUAAAACAUUUACUCACAAUAAGGAGGUCAUUAGCAUUAGCUGGUUUAGCCUCUCAGCUGAGUGAAUCCUCUACUAAGAAUAAUUUCAGCUUAUUUACUGAAGUCUUGUACUAAAUAUAAUCUACAUUAUUGUGGGAUCAUGAAAAACAGUCGUGUAACCAGUGUAGUGACACACCUGAGCUGUAACCCACCUCUGUUCUGACUUCCUCGCUACGCCACCGCUAGACAUGUGCCGAUAGUCUGCUAUAUUGUCAUUUUUUACAUAUAUAAUAUUGUUAGCAUCGAUACCUCAAAAUAUUAUCACUCCCCUUUGCAUUCAGUUUGCGAAUAUGGUGCCUUAGUGGGGCUACAUUGUUGUUUUUUCCCCCCAAAAACAAUAUCUGUCGCAUCCUGUAGGUAGCAUGAGGAGAAACUAGUUAACGGUCGAUGCUAAGUGUUAUUUAUCACCACAUCUGAGGUAAAUGUUGAUGUUUCACAUAAUACUGUCUUGUUUCCACCGUCACUGUGUCUUUACAUUGUCCAUAUUUUGAGUACUUAAUGGUUAGGUAAGUCAUUAGCCUUGUUUUCAGCUAAAUAACUAUGUUAUAAUUCAGUGUUCAUGCUGCUUACUUACUUAGCAACAGAGGUCUAUUGAAUUUUACCAUUUGGAUGUCAAGUGUGUAUUUAACUUCCUACAUGGAACACACUAAUAUAAUCUAUUACCGUUCCUAACAUUUCAUUAUGAUUAAAAGUCAUAUUAGUGUUUGUAGACCAUAUGUUGUUCCCAGGAUAAAAUUUGUAACUAGCAAAUGCAAUAUUAACACACAGUUAACAUAUGGAACUUUCUAGAUCGCGAUAGUUAGCUAGCUAGUUAUGACAGUCACUAACUAUUUUUUUUUAAUAGCUAGUGAACGAUUGUGUCCCUGUAGCGCAAACGUCGCAUAUUUCAGUAAACAAUAUUGCAGUUGUAUGAAAACAUCGGCCCAUGCCUAGCCCGAACGCAGUGUGUUAUUAAUCACAGCAAAAAUCAGUUCUAUGCUGUUAAAUCAAGUCGCUAACUGUGGGUUCGGUUAUUGUUAUCGUUUCUGUGUACGUUUGUAUAACACGUCUCUGUGUCUAACUGGUGUGUGUGUGUGUGUGUGUGUGUGUGUGUGUGUUCGAAAAUUGUGAAUUAAACAAUAA
ensembl:lncRNA